GAAAACUCAUCGUAGAGAAAGUUAUGGAUGGAAUGAUCUCCUCUCUUGUACCCCGCGAAAGCUGAAGAAUGGCUUUAGAAUCUUCCAUUCCGCUGCUCCAAAAAUCCUUAUUUGCUGCGUUACAUGUUCUCCAUUAUUCUUCUAUCAUAGGCUUGUCAGGCUGAUUCUUUCGUUUCGAAAUAUAAUAAUAAUAUUAUUCUCAGAGCAGAGAAUAUCCCCCCUUUCUUUCGGGCUCAUUUGUGUCACCGUAAAGGCUUUUUUGAAAGGAGAGGGAUGCUAUUUGUUUAUUUG
rnacentral:lncRNA from 1 species